GCGCGAAAACUUUACAAUGCUGGCAACAGCGGUAAGGGAACCUCGAGUGCCAGGUUACAAAUCUGGCUGUCGUGAUGCCUAAAAAGCAUUACAUAGCAAGGGCCGGGCAAGACCGGUGCCAGCCGCCGCGGUAACACCGGCGGCUCGAGUGGUAACCGUUAUUAUUGGGUCUAAAGGGUCUGUAGCCGGCCGGAUAAGUCUCUUGGGAAAUCUGGCAGCUCAACUGUCAGGCUUUCAGGAGAUACUGUCUGGCUCGAGGCCGGGAGAGGUGAGAGGUACUUCAGGGGUAGGGGUGAAAUCUUGUAAUCCUUGAAGGACCACCAGUGGCGAAGGCGUCUCACCAGAACGGACCUGACGGCAAGGGACGAAAGCUAGGGGCACGAACCG
rnacentral:rRNA from 1 species